CCCAUGUGGAACCUUUUGUGGGUCCACAUGUGGCUAGACUGAGUGUAGCUUUUACCACAGAUGUUGCAAACGUAUCUGUACAAGAAUAAAAAGAUUUUGAAGGUUUAUACAUAAUUUGAAGAGAGAGAGAGAGAGAGAGAGAGAGAACAUACGGUCUUAAUCCGCUGUGCCUUCUUUUGUGAGCGUUCAGAGAAUUUGCGGUCGGCAAUAGACUGCCACAAAUAUCACACGGAAAUUUGGAACAUCUGUAUUUUCCGUGUUCUUGAAAAUCCUCAAUACUCGUGAAAAUACUUCCACAGAGUUCGCAAAUGAAUUUUUCCUUGCUCUUCUCUGAUCUCCUAGGCAACGGCUGAUGUCUUUUUUGUUUGUGCUUGUAAAGCAGAGACAGUUCUUUAACGUCUCUGUCGCAGAUCUCGCAUAAAAAUACCACUAACACUCUGAAUAUUCUUGGGUGUUCUUUCCAGUGAAGAACAGCCUCCGCGUAAGAUUUGAAUACAGUGUUACAAUGAUUGCAGGAGUACGGUUUCUCGAUAACAUGCGAUUCUCUGUGGGUUUUCAAAUGAUCCAUGUCUGCAAAGUGGCUGCUGCAGAAUUCACAAUGUGUUCAUCCGCAAGUUCGCAACUCCCGAAGGCUUCGCCGCAACGAAUACAUCUAUAAAAAAUAACUAUUUUUAACCGAAUGAGAAGAACAAGAGAAGAACGAAUGCAUUACCUCCAAAUAGUCUGAUUGUUUUCAAAAAUGAUGCUGUGUCCAGCAACAUGUUUGUUCAAUCUUGAUUUCUGUGUGAAACUCUUAGAACAUUCUGGACAUUUGUAUGGCUUUUCCGGAAGAAAAUGCUUUCAACACUCUUAGAAAAUUGAAAAGAUAUUUGUUCAACUUAAAAGACUAUAUUAGAUCAAGUUUUUAAGGAUGUUUCAAAAUAUCAGAAAAUUAAGGAACAUACUCUACA